UACGAAGGGGGGCUAGCGUUGCUCGGAAUCACUGGGCGUAAAGCGCACGUAGGCGGAUUCUUAAGUCAGGGGUGAAAUCCUGGAGCUCAACUCCAGAACUGCCUUUGAUACUGGGUAUCUCGAGUAUGGAAGAGGUGAGUGGAAUUCCGAGUGUAGAGGUGAAAUUCGUAGAUAUUCGGAGGAACACCAGUGGCGAAGGCGGCUCACUGGUCCAUUACUGACGCUGAGGUGCGAAAGCGUGGGGAGCAAACAGG
rnacentral:rRNA from 1 species